GACGAACGCUGGCGGCGUGCUUAACACAUGCAAGUCGAACGGAAACUCCCUUGUUUUGGGGGGUGCGCGACUGGCGGACGGGUGAGCAACCCGUGAGUAACCUGCGCCUGAGGUUGAACUAACCUAAGGCAACGGGGGCUACUAACAGAUACAACCUCCGCCUGCAUGGGGUGGGUAGGAUAGUUUCGGCGGUUGGGGAUGGACUCGCGGCUUAUCAGCUUGUUGGUGGGGUGGUGGCUUACCAAGGCUUUGACGGGUAGCCGGCCUGAGAGGGUGACCGGCCACAUUGGGACUGAGAUACGGCCCAGACUCCUACGGGAGGCAGCGGUGGGGAAUAUUGCACAAUGGGCGGAAGCCUGAUGCAGCAACGCCGCGUGCGGGAUGACGGCCUUCGGGUUGUAAACCGCUUUCGCCUGUGACGAAGCGUGAGUGACGGUAAUGGGUAAAGAAGCACCGGCUAACUACGUG
rnacentral:rRNA from 1 species